UGGCACCAGCAUCUGCUUCUGGUAAGAACCUCAAGAAGCUUCCAAUUAUGGCGGAAGGUGAAGAGGAAACAGGCAUAUCUCCUGUGACACCUGUCCUGG